CUAGUGUUAUUCAUGUUUAAUCGGUUUAAAGGGUACCUAGACGGUAAAUCAAGCUUUCAAAAAAAAAAUAGAGAAUUAAAGGACUAAUUUACUAGAGUUACUUAUGAGGGGGUUUUAAAGUACUGCUGGUGUAGAGAUGAAAUUCUGUCAUACCUCUUUUCAAAAGAAAAAUCAUGGCACAGGUAUAGGCGAAGGCAUCCCCUUAUGUGAUAACUGACGUUGAGGGACGAAGGCUUUGUAUAGCGAACAGGAUUAGAUACCCCAGUAGUCGAAGCAGAAAAUGAUGAAUGUCAUAGAUUAGAUAUAUAAGUUUAUUCUAUAAAUGAAAGUGUAAGCAUUCCACCUCAAGAGUAAUUUGGCAACAUUGGAACUGAAAUCAUUAGACCGUUUCUGAAACCAGUAGUGAAGUAUGUUGUUUAAUUUGAUGAUCCGCAAAAAACCUUACCACAAUUUGAAUAUUUAUAUUUUUUUAUUGUUUUCUUAUUAAUUUUCUUUUAACAACAUAAUGUAAUAAAUCAAGAUGAAGAAAAGAAGAAAUUUAAUAAAGAGGCAAUAAAAUAUAUUUACAAGCGUUGCACGGCUGUCUUCAGUUAAUGUCGCGAGACUUUGGUUAGUUCCAUUAAAUUAACGUAAACCCUUACUUUAUUUUUAUAUAGAGUAGUUCCCCGCUAUAUUGGAUAUGAU
rnacentral:rRNA from 1 species